CCCUCGCCCAACAAAUCGCCAUCGAAGCCACAAACGGAGAAGCUUCUCCCCUCGGGAGUUGCGUCUCAUUUCCAAUGCUUCGGGAGAAAGUCCCCGGACAAUCCUCCAUCUGGAGGAACGCUGAAAAGCGCCGCCAUAGAAGCACUGCGGCUGAUCUCCGCCGCCUGUCCCUUGCCUGUCUUUAGCCUGCCCUGCCUUGUCGCUACAUCUUUCGGUUCUGGCCCGUGGUUCAAUCACCUCUUUCCAGGCUCGGGGACCCCAUGGACGAAGAUAUGAGUCCGCGCCCUGGGCCACUUGGGUCAGGUUGCUGCGAUCUACGGGUCGCCGUUCGAUGACGGGCAGCCGUUCGGCGGUCUGGGCUGGGGACGUCAUGACUGGCUGGAGAAGAUUUCGUCGAGAUUUGAUAGGUAUGCGAUUGCCCGCGCUGGCGUCUUCGGGCCUGGCGCGGGUUACUCGAUGGGGCUUAUUCUUGGUGCGAGG
rnacentral:RNase_MRP_RNA from 2 species